CCUACGGGAGGCUGCAGUGGGGAAUAUUGCACAAUGGGCGCAAGCCUGAUGCAGCCAUGCCGCGUGUGUGAAGAAGGCCUUCGGGUUGUAAAGCACUUUCAGCGGGGAGGAAGGCGGUGAGGUUAAUAACCUCAUCGAUUGACGUUACCCGCAGAAGAAGCACCGGCUAACUCCGUGCCAGCAGCCGCGGUAAUACGGAGGGUGCAAGCGUUAAUCGGAAUUACUGGGCGUAAAGCGCACGCAGGCGGUCUGUCAAGUCGGAUGUGAAAUCCCCGGGCUCAACCUGGGAACUGCAUUCGAAACUGGCAGGCUAGAGGCUUGUAGAGGGGGGUGGAAUUCCAGGUGUAGCGGUGUAAUGCGUAGAGAUCUGGAGGAAUACCGGUGGCGAAGGCGGCCCCCUGGACAAAGACUGACGCUCAGGUGCGAAAGCGUGGGGAGCAAACAGGAUUAGAUACCCCGGUAGUC
rnacentral:rRNA from 1 species